UACGGAGGGUGCAAGCGUUGUCCGGAUUUAUUGGGUUUAAAGGGUGCGUAGGUGGUCAAUUAAGUCAGUGCUGAAAUAUCCCGGCUUAACCGGGAGGGUGGCAUUGAUACUGAUUGACUUGAGUAGAGUUGAGGUAGGCGGAAUUGACGGUGUAGCGGUGAAAUGCUUAGAUAUCGUCAAGAACACCGAUAGCGAAGGCAGCUUACUAAGCUCAAACUGACACUGAUGCACGAAAGUGUGGGGAGCAAACAGG
rnacentral:rRNA from 1 species